rnacentral:rRNA from 1 species
ACUCCUACGGGAGGCAGCAGUGGGGAAUAUUGGACAAUGGGGGCAACCCUGAUCCAGCCAUGCCGCGUGUGUGAAGAAGGCCUUCGGGUUGUAAAGCACUUUCAGUAGGGAGGAAAGGUUGUACGUUAAUACCGUGCGCUGUGACGUUACCUACAGAAGAAGCAUCGGCUAACUCCGUGCCAGCAGCCGCGGUAAUACGGAGGGUGCGAGCGUUAAUCGGAAUUACUGGGCGUAAAGCGCAUGCAGGCGGCCUGUUAAGUCAGAUGUGAAAGCCCGGGGCUUAACCUCGGAAUUGCAUUUGAAACUGGCAGGCUAGAGUCUUGUAGAGGGGGUGAGAAUUUUCAGGUGUAGCGGUGAAAUGCGUAGAGAUCUGAAGGAAUACCAGUGGCGAAGGCGGCCCCCUGAGCAAGACUAGACGCUCAGAUGCGAAAGCGU